rnacentral:rRNA from 1 species
GGGCGGUCCGCCGCCGGCGACGUCGCGAGAAGUCCACUGAACCUUA